ensembl:snoRNA
AGUUGUGGUGGUUUUCUUUUUGGCACAUUUGUUAAGUUUUCAAACGGUCCUGACUCUGCCACAGAUAUUAUACAGGAGCUGGCAAAGACUUCAUGACAAAGAGAUCUCUUUCUAGCCUUUCCUGAACCAGAGAUUGGGCUCCCACAAGU